GACGAACGCUGGCGGCGUGCUUAACACAUGCAAGUGGAGCGACGAACCAGGCUUCGGCCUGGGGCAAAGCCGCGAACGGGUGAGUAACACGUGGGUAACCUGCCCCGAUGACUGGGACAACCCGAGGAAACUCGGGCUAAUACCGGAUGUACUUACAUCACACAAGUGAUGCAAGCAAAGAUAGCUUCGGCCUUCGCAUCGGGAUGGGCCCGCGGCCCAUUAGCUUGUUGGUGGGGAACGGCCUACCAAGGCAACGAUGGGUAGCUGGUCUGAGAGGACGAUCAGCCACACUGGGACUGAGACACGGCCCAGACUCCUACGGGAGCAGCAGUGGGGAAUCUUGCGCAAUGCGCGAAAGCGUGACGCAGCAACGCCGCGUGGGGGAAGAAGGC
rnacentral:rRNA from 1 species